rnacentral:misc_RNA from 1 species
UUGUGUGCCAAUAGCAGCACUUUCUAGUGCUAUUUCUGUAAAACUUGAAUCACCAGCAAAAUUCUGCUUCACUUGCCUCAUGCUAGGACUUCUUGUUGGCUGUGAACAGAACAGGCACAGUUUCAAAGCCAUCCCCCUUUCCUCUAUCAUAAAAUUGCCAUUCAAUUUAGGAGCACUGGCAUCAAGAAUAGCCCCACUUUUCCAGCACUUAAUGACCCCAAAUUAAUUACCACUUCAUUAGGAAGUCUAGGAAAGCUCUAUAGGCCUCCUUCCACAAGGC